rnacentral:rRNA from 1 species
AGCGCAGCCCCUAUCCUUAGUUGCCAGCAUUAAGUUGGGCACUCUAGGGAGACUGCCUGGGCUAACCAGGAGGAAGGUGGGGACGACGUCAAGUCCUCAUGGCCCUUAUGCCUAGGGCUACACACGUAAUACAAUGGUUGAUACAGAGGGAAGCGAACUCGCGAGGGGAAGCAAAUCUCAAUAAGUCAAUCUCAGUCCGGAUUGGAGUCUGCAACUCGACUCCAUGAAGUUGGAAUCGCUAGUAAUCGUGGAUCAGCACGCCACGGUGAAUACGUUCCCGGGCCUUGUACACACCGCCCGUCACACCACGGGAGUUGUUCUUACCUGAAGUCGUGGCCCUAACUUUUGAGGGGAGCGCCUACGGUCGGAGCGAUGACUGGGGUGAAGUCGUAACAAGGUAGCC